UGGGGAAUAUUGGACAAUGGGCGCAAGCCUGAUCCAGCCAUGCCGCGUGGAUGAUGAAGGCCCUAGGGUUGUAAAGUCCUUUCGGCGGGGAAGAUAAUGACGGUACCCGCAGAAGAAGCCCCGGCUAACUUCGUGCCAGCAGCCGCGGUAAUACGAAGGGGGCUAGCGUUGCUCGGAAUCACUGGGCGUAAAGCGCACGUAGGCGGCUUUCUAAGUCGGUGGUGAAAUCCUGGAGCUCAACUCCAGAACUGCCUCCGAUACUGGAGGGCUCGAGUCCGGGAGAGGUGAGUGGAACUGCGAGUGUAGAGGUGAAAUUCGUAGAUAUUCGCAAGAACACCGGUGGCGAAGGCGGCUCACUGGCCCGGUACUGACGCUGAGGUGCGAAAGCGUGGGGAGCAAACA
rnacentral:rRNA from 1 species